rnacentral:rRNA from 1 species
CCUACGGGAGGCAGCAGUGGGGAAUCUUGCGCAAUGCUCGAAAGCGUGACGCAGCGACGCCGCGUGAAUGACGAAGGCCUUCGGGUCGUAAAGUUCUUUCGACAGGGAAGAAAAUGCAUAUAAGUAACCGUCUAUGUAUUGACGGUACCUGUAUAAGCAGCGCCGGCUAACUCCGUGCCAGCAGCCGCGGUAAUACGGAGGGGGCGAGCGUUGUUCGGAGUGACUGGGCGUAAAGAGCACGUAGGCGGUGUUGUAAGUCAUUAGUCAAAGACUAGAGCUCAACUUUAGUAAGGCUAGUGAUACUAUAAUACUAGAGUAUGAGAGAGGAAAGCAGAAUUCUUGGUGUAGCGGUGAAAUGCGUAGAUAUCAGGAGGAAUACCGGUAGCGAAGGCGGCAAGCUGGAUGGAAACUGACGCUGAGGUGCGAAAGCGUGGGUAGCAAACAGGAUUAGAUACCCCAGUAGUC